ensembl:lncRNA
GUGAAAGCAAGGUAGCACCUUUCCGCCGUUGCUUUCGCGAGAUGGUGCGAGAUGCUGCCUCUUUUUCGACACCGACAAUGCGGCGUACACAGCUGGCUGCUGUCAUCAGACGGAGUCGAAGAUUUCACCCAAAACUCGGUGAAGAUUAGCUGCAGCAGAGAGCGUGCGUGCGUGCGUGCGUGCGUUUAUUUUUGUAUGGUCGUGGGCCUUCAUGAUAAUUAAAGUGUGUGUUCACGGUUUCACACGGUUAGCAUGACGGGACAGGGAUGGACUGCGAUUGGUCAGAAAGUGUUGAUCGGUUUUCUGUAACUGCAGCGCUGACUGUAGUGCAGCUUCAAAUCACAGGUUUAGAGAAAUGCAUCAUUGUAUAAAAGAUACGAAGAAAGGCUGGAGAGAUGGGGAAAGAGAGAAAGAAAGGCUGGAGAGAUGGGGAAAGAAAGAAAGAAAGAAAGGCUGGAGAGAUGGGAGAAGAAGGAAAGAAAGAAAGGCUGGAGAGAUGGGAGAAGAAAAAAGCUGGAGAGAUGGGGAAAGAAAGAAAUGGUAGAGUGAUGGAGGAAGAAAGAAAGAGGCUGGAGAGAUGGGGAAAGAUAGAAAGGCUGGCGGGAUGGGAGAAGAAAGCAAGAGACAGGAUGGAGAGAUGGGAGAAGAAGCAAGAGACAGGAUGGAGAGAUGGGAGAAGAAAGAAAGAUGGAAAGAAAUAAAAAAGGAAAGAAAGAAAAAAAGACUGGUAAGAUGGGGGAAGAAAGAAAGAGAGGAUGGAAAGAUGGGGGAAGAAAGAAAGAAAGAGAGAGAGGUUGGAAAGAUCUUUCUACGUGCUCUCCGGUACGCGCCGUCACGUUAUACGCGUGUUUAAUGGUUUCUAAUGCCUCUCCGGCAUUGCGUGUUAUUUUUUAGGAGCAGAAAGAACAUUGUAUAAGAGAAAACCAUUCAACUCGGAAUAUUUCACGACUCUGUAGCUGCAUUACUAUCUGAAGAUAGUGUUUGACGUAAACCAGCGAAAAAUACUUCACGUGUUGUUGUUGUUGUUGUUGUUGUUGUUGUUUAGCUCAGGGAAAGGAGAGGAAGAAAGAAAGGGCGUUAAAAACAGCUGCUCG